rnacentral:lncRNA from 1 species
GGUACACAUGCUUUUAAAUAAGAUCUCAUCUCUAAGUUAGAGUAAACUGUCAAGACUUAAAACUUACUUACUUUACCUUUCACCAUGGGACUUGUAACUGUCACUUCUGUCUUGAGUGGUUAAAAGAUAGAACAGUCUAGUCAAGUGCCACGUCUCUUAUUCUUGAUCAGCUAUAGCUCUGGAGUUUUUGUAGAUUUUCAAAUAAAACUCAGAGAUUCCUUGUAUGAUUCUCUCAUAUCUCUCUUUUGUGGUAUUUCUGGAUCCUUACCAAGGCAGUGAUGGUAUAUGCCUUCUCUCAAGAUAUGUAGUAUUUGUGGUUUGAAGCAUAGUGACAUUGCCUUCUCUCUCACCCUAUUCUAAUAAGGCUUUAAUAUCUGGAGCUCAUAGGUGGGAGAUAAAGUCUACAUACUUACAAGACAUUUAUUGUAUAGUCAAACCAUGGAUCCAAAGAAACAAGCCAAUAAGUCAAAUCAAGAUGUGCAUGUGUGGCGAAUGAAUGGUGUAUGGUGAUGAUGGUGAUGGUGGAAGUCUAAUUCUACUUUUGCUCUUUGAGGGGAUACAUACCUUCCUUGCUUUUUGAAACUUUAUGAGGAGAAUGAGAUGCUCUUCUUUUUCUUUUCUCUCAGGUGGGUAUCUUGUACCCCUAAUUCUACUGUCGGACACUUGUCCAUUUUUACCUCUCGUCUCACUCUUUCUUUUCUUUCGAGGUUCCGGGCACUUGCCCCUUUUUAUUUCCUCGUAUCUCUUUUUUUCUCCCUUUUUUUUAGAGCACUCAUCUCUUGAGAUAAUGUAGCAAGUGGUAGUAACAAGAUAACUUGAGCAUUUAUUUCACAGGGAAAAACAGAAAUAUUUUUGGUUAUUCUCUCCCGGAUUAGGAGUAGAAUAUUUUUGGGUGAUUCUGGAGAUGGAAAUGGAUGGAUAUAUGUGGAUGGUACUUUCGGAGUAGAAGUAGCAUAUAUGAGUGAACGUGCAAGUGAAUCUUGAUUUAACCACAUGACAAGCUCCUAAGGGUCUACACAGCUUGACCACACUCAAUGCUCAUAAGCAGUAAAUUGUAAAUGUGUGGCUCAAAGUCUAGCAAGCAUGUAUAUAUGGCUGUGGUAGGAAUUUAAACUCUCAUUAUACAGGAACUCAUCAUGUAAUAUUUUAAAGAUUUUUAAAGAUAAAAUUCUCCAGAAUUCUAGCAUCUCUAGGAACAGAUAAACAACAGCUCAACCUUUCCAUAUCGUAUCUGUUAACAACUUAGACUUCAGAUCAAGUUUUCAUCCCACAAGUUUAGGUUUAGAGCAAGCUUUAAAUUAUAACAGUUAUGUCUAAACUUGAGAGAGAACUUAAAAUGUGUUAAUUAGGCAAAGCAACUAUUCAUC